ACAACAUUCGGACCGUCGGUCGGUCUACCGAUAAAUAAUACCCGCUUGGUGGAAGAUCUUUCCCUUGUCGU
rnacentral:pre_miRNA from 1 species